UAUGAUAUAUUGACUGGCUAUCAUUUGAUUUUACCAUUGUUGAAAUAAUCACUAUAAUUAUGCCUUAGAUUAGGAAAUCACUCUGUAAUUAGGAAGAUUUGUUGUAUGCCUAAAUAGUGCCUGUAAAUAUAUUUUCCUAUUUAGUUUUUCCUAUAAUUAGUAUUUAAUCCCCAAUGGUUUGAGGGAAUUAUCAAGCUAAUUUUCUCAAACAUUCAUUCGCUAAUUUUAAUUCUUCAUGGUAUCAGAGCCUAGGCUUUGAGUCCAAGCUCUUGUUUUCUCCUUUUCUUCAUUCUGUUUCCUGAGAA
rnacentral:misc_RNA from 1 species